rnacentral:rRNA from 1 species
GGGCUUAGGAUGAACGCUAGCGGCAGGCUUAACACAUGCAAGUCGAGGGGCAGCGGGAUGUAGCAAUACAUUGCCGGCGACCGGCGGAUGGGUGCGUAACGCGUAUGCAACCUACCUUAUACAGGGGAAUAACCUUUCGAAAGGGAGACUAACACCCCAUAGUAUUGAUUUAAGGCAUCUUAGAUUAAUUAAAUAUUUAUAGGUAUAAGAUGGGCAUGCGUAUGAUUAGCUAGUUGGUAAGGUAACGGCUUACCAAGGCGACGAUCAUUAGGGGUUCUGAGAGGAAGGUCCCCCACACUGGUACUGAGACACGGACCAGACUCCUACGGGAGGCAGCAGUGAGGAAUAUUGGUCAAUGGGCGCAAGCCUGAACCAGCCAUGCCGCGUGCAAGGGAAGGCGGCCUUAUGGGUUGUAAACUGCUUUUACAUAAGACUAACCGUAUAUUUGCGAAUAUACCUGAAUGUAUUAUGAGAAUAAGGAUCGGCUAACUCCGUGCCAGCCGCCGC